GGGGAAUAUUGCACAAUGGAGGAAACUCUGAUGCAGCGACGCCGCGUGAGUGAAGAAGGUCUUCGGAUCGUAAAACUCUGUCCUUGGUGACGAAAAAAAUGACGGUAGCCAAGGAGGAAGCCCCGGCUAACUACGUGCCAGCAGCCGCGGUAAUACGUAGGGGGCGAGCGUUGUCCGGAAUGACUGGGCGUAAAGGGCGCGUAGACGGUUUUUUAAGUCUGGAGUGAAAGUCCUGCUUUCAAGGUGGGAAUUGCUUUGGAGACUGGAAGGCUUGAGUGCGGAAGAGGUAAGUGGAAUUCCCAGUGUAGCGGUGAAAUGCGUAGAGAUUGGGAAGAACACCAGUGGCGAAGGCGACUUACUGGGCCGUAACUGACGUUGAUGCGCGAAAGCGUGGGGAGCGAACA
rnacentral:rRNA from 1 species